rnacentral:rRNA from 1 species
UGCAAGUCGAGCGAAUGGAUUGAGAGCUUUGCUCUCAAGAAGUUAGCGGCGGACGGGUGAGUAACACGUGYGGUAACCUGCCCAUAAGACUGGGAUAACUCCGGGAAACCGGGGCUAAUACCGGAUAACAUUUUGAACUGCAUGGUUCGAAAUUGAAAGGCGGCUUCGGCUGUCACUUAUGGAUGGACCCGCGUCGCAUUAGCUAGUUGGUGAGGUAACGGCUCACCAAGGCAACGAUGCGUAGCCGACCUGAGAGGGUGAUCGGCCACACUGGGACUGAGACACGGCCCAGACUCCUACGGGAGGCAGCAGUAGGGAAUCUUCCGCAAUGGACGAAAGUCUGACGGAGCAACGCCGCGUGAGUGAUGAAGGCUUUCGGGUCGUAAAACUCUGUUGUUAGGGAAGAACAAGUGCUAGUUGAAUAAGCUGGCACCUUGACGGUACCUAACCAGAAAGCCACGGCUAACUACGUGCCAGCAGCCGCGGUAAUACGAUAGGUGGCAAGCGUUUAUCCGGAAUUAUUGGGCGUAAAGCGCGCGCAGGUGGUUUCUUAAGUCUGAUGUGAAAGCCCACGGCUCAACCGUGGAGGGUCAUUGGAAACUGGGAGACUUG